rnacentral:rRNA from 2 species
AAAUUGAAGAGUUUGAUCAUGGCUCAGAUUGAACGCUGGCGGCAGGCCUAACACAUGCAAGUCGAACGGUAACAGGAAGCAGCUUGCUGCUUCGCUGACGAGUGGCGGACGGGUGAGUAAUGUCUGGGAAACUGCCUGAUGGAGGGGGAUAACUACUGGAAACGGUGGCUAAUACCGCAUAACGUCGCAAGACCAAAGAGGGGGACCUUCGGGCCUCUUGCCAUCAGAUGUGCCCAGAUGGGAUUAGCUUGUUGGUGAGGUAACGGCUCACCAAGGCGACGAUCCCUAGCUGGUCUGAGAGGAUGACCAGCCACACUGGAACUGAGACACGGUCCAGACUCCUACGGGAGGCAGCAGUGGGGAAUAUUGCACAAUGGGCGCAAGCCUGAUGCAGCCAUGCCGCGUGUAUGAAGAAGGCCUUCGGGUUGUAAAGUACUUU